CAAACUGUCCUUUACAAUUUAUUUCCUGCUUUUGCAGCAAAAUCAUAUUAUGAUAAUGGUAUGGUUAAGCAGCGGGUGAUUAGUUCUCCUUGUGUGACGGAUACAGUUGGAUUGAGAGGAGAGAAGCCCAUGGAGAAUAGCUGGGAUAGAGAGAAUAGAUGGAGGAAUAAACUAUGAAUAGGAGGGAUUCCUAACAAGAACAUCUAGCUAGUGAAACACCCUGCUGUGCAGCCAGAAGCAACCAACUAACCACUUAGACUGAAUCACCUGAGGAUGGAGAACAGUGUUUGAUAUUUUUGCUGAGUUUAGAGCUCAAACUGAGUUUACAGAAAAUCAGUUUGGGAUGAAUUGUUAGUCUAAGACAAUGGGGAAAUGUGGGUUACAUAGUACCAUUAUGUGGUAUAGCCUAUACCCUUGGUAUCAUGUACUACUAGUAAGGUUAUUCAUUAUGUGGUAUAGCCUAUACCCUUGGUAUCAUGUACUACUAGUAAGGUUAUUCAUUAUGUGGUAUAGCCUAUACCCUUGGUAUCAUGUACUACUAGUAAGGUUAUUCAUUAUGUGGUAUAGCCUAUACCCUUGGUAUCAUGUACUACUAGUAAGGUUAUUCAUUAUGUGGUAUAGCCUAUACCCUUGGUAUCAUGUACUACUAGUAAGGUUAUUCAUUAUGUGGUAUAGCCUAUACCCUUGGUAUCAUGUACUACUAGUAAGGUUAUUCAUUAUGUGGUAUAGCCUAUACCCUUGGUAUCAUGUACUACUAGUAAGGUUAUUCAUUAUGUGGUAUAGCCUAUACCCUUGGUAUCAUGUACUACUAGUAAGGUUAUUCAUUAUGUGGUAUAGCCUAUACCCUUGGUAACAUGUACUACUAGUAAGGUUAUUCAUUAUGUGGUAUAGCCUAUACCCUUGGUAACAUGUACUACUAGUAAGGUUAUUCAUUAUGUGGUAUAGCCUAUACCCUUGGUAACAUGUACUACUAGUAAGGUUAUUCAUUAUGUGGUAUAGCCUAUACCCUUGGUAACAUGUACUACUAGUAAGGUUAUUCAUUAUGUGGUAUAGCCUAUACCCUUGGUAUCAUGUACUACUAGUAAGGUUAUUCAUUAUGUGGUAUAGCCUAUACCCUUGGUAACAUGUACUACUAGUAAGGUUAUUCAUUAUGUGGUAUAGCCUAUACCCUUGGUAACAUGUACUACUAGUAAGGUUAUUCAUUAUGUGGUAUAGCCUAUACCCUUGGUAACAUGUACUACUAGUAAGGUUAUUCAUUAUGUGGUAUAGCCUAUACCCUUGGUAACAUGUACUACUAGUAAGGUUAUUCAUUAUGUGGUAUAGCCUAUACCCUUGGUAACAUGUACUACUAGUAAAGUUAUUCAUUAUGUGGUAUAGCCUAUACCCUUGGUAUCAUGUACUACUAGUAAGGUUAUUCAUUAUGUGUUAUAGCCUAUACCCUUGGUAUCA